GGGAAGAGGCUCCCACUAAAUUCCAGAGCGACGCGCUGCACGUAGCUAACCGACCUCAUCGCGCUUCCAAGGGCCGAGGGACCGGGGAACCCCGCUAAAUGUUCCCCGAGCCCCUCCCGAGAGCCGCCCGCGCGGAAGGCCGGCCAAAGUGGAAAGUUACGUCACCCCCCGAGCCUCCAAUCGCGGCCUUCGUCGCUUAAUCUUAAAGAGGAGUGCUGGUCUUGAACACUGGAGACUAACAGGGACUGGGAUACGGUAGGCCACGUACUUUACUGUGGGACCCAGCAGCACAGUGAAGAACGUGAGAGCUGUCGAUGUAAGACAGUCGUGCAGGAAUGCUAUGAA